rnacentral:lncRNA from 1 species
GCCAACUGGCUUUUCCUCUGAAACCUUUCUCUUUGCUUUUAAUCUGGUAGCAUAAACAAAUGGCUAAACCAGCUUAAGUUAUAGUAAAUAUUGAAAACGAAAUCGUCUAGAUGGCAUAACAAAGACUUUGGUCUGAAGGCUUCUUGUGUUCAGAACUAAUAAUUCAUAAAUGAUGUUCCUCCUGCCUUGACAGGGGAAUCAUUUGACUUCUGAAGAAAUCUGAGGUAUGGAACUUCAGCACCACCUACUGGAUGAUUCAUAGACCAGAGACAUAAGGUGGCAAUUAGGAUCUGACAGGUUCAUCACUACUACCAAUAAAAAGGGCUAUUUAAGUAGUGGCCACCUCCAAACAAAGCAAGAGUUAAAUAUCUCAAAGGAACUGUAAAAUGAACCUUUUCUCUAAUGUGUCUUUUGGUCACUGAAAGAUUUUAAGCACUUUUUUCUUACAUAUUCUGUCUUAAAAUAUUUAUUGAUAUUCAGAACUGGCAAUCAAACUUAAUGGAUGUGCCGAAGCAUUUAUAAAACCAAUUCUUUUAACUUGCAAAAGCCAUUACCAAAAUGGUAUUCUAAUUUUCCUCCCAUUACCAGCCAGGGAGAGUUUUUUUUAAAAAAAUAAAUAAACGUCACCUAUAUUUGAUCAUGACAACUUCAGAGAGUGUGUGUAUGUCUCUGGGAUGAUGUUGGGACAGGGGUUAAAAUUUAAAGGGGAAAACUUGAAACUACCUAUUUUCAUUGGUUAUUCAGCAGUGCCUAAAAUGAACUUUUGAAGUAAUACAAAUGCACUUUCAAUUCAUGUGUAUAGUGCCAUCUGAUACCUUGGGUAAGUCUUGCUUUUUCUUUUCUUUUUCUCCCCACUGCCCCCCCCCUUAAUUGAAUACCACAGAGGUGUUUUCUAACAUACAUACAAAGCUACAAAGUACAGAAAACGUACUUUCUUCCAGAUGGGCAAUUUAGAGGAUGUUUCUUUUGUUGAAAUUUAGGUUUCGGGUAUUACUGUUUGGAAUAUGCGGGAAGAUUGGGUUUUUAAUUUUAGCCCAAAGAUACCUUAAGCAAGUGUAACAUAUUUCGACAUAUAAAACUUUGAAAACUUUAGUUACCUAGAAAACAGAUUCUUCACCAAAUAUUCUCAUUCUUAAUUUGAGUUCCAGGACCACAUUUCUCAGUAGAAGGGAAAGCACUAGAAACUUGCAUUGUUGUUGCACUUAAAAAAAAUUGGCCUAUAAACCAUGAUAAUAAUAGUACCAUAAGGUGUUUGGAAUGAGUCAAAACAUUAAGCAAUCACAACCUGAGAUGAUUUAUAUAACCUCCCCCCCCCCCAAAAAAAAUCCACAACAACAACAAAAGAAGGGCUUUAAGGUAUUAAGGUACUGUUUGCCUAGCAGCCAGGUGGUUAUAAAACUUUCAUAUGCUUUGAUACACUGAUGUUAGCCAUUGUUCCUGAAAGCUCCUUAAAUUGCAUAAGUUGCUAGUUUUGAAACUUUUCAAGAAUAAUCUAGUUGAAAAACCUUUGUAUUAAAGAUACACAGAGAUUUUUGUGAACAUUGCAAGUAUGUAGUGUCAUUUGCUUUUUUUUCUUGACCUCAGAAGUGCCUCACUUGUAUAUUCCAUUAAAAGCCUGACUGCAUUCUUUCUAAUAAGCAAUGAAAAAUUGUUUAACUCAUGUCAUGAUGUAUCUCCUUAGAUAUAGUUGAUUAGCUUGAUAGUUUGGAUAUAUAAUGUAAAUAUGCAUAUAUAAGUUUGUAACUGUUUUUGUUACAUCAUACCCGUGUAAUUGGACAUAUCAGAUGAUAUCAUAAGAAUUUGUUUUUAAUUACCUGAUUAAACCUAUCAUUAAAUAUGAAAGGACUUUUUCUUACUCUUCUAGAGGGUAACUGUCACAUAAGAGAAUAAUUAAGGAGAAAGCAGUAGAAAUGGACUAUUUUGGUCAUUUUUUAAGGUAUAUUUUUAACUGAAAAUUCAUGUAUAUAGUUCAUUUUAUUGACAUUUAUUCAUCCUUAACUGUAUCCAGAUUUAUUAUGGUCUGGUACCUAUAAAUAGGUACAUACAAUAAAUAUACACGUUAUAUUUAUUGGUUUGAGAACGUGUUACUGCUAAAUCUGGAUUAAAUGAUAAUCCUUGAAUGAUAUGUGGGAAAUUUUUAGCCCAAGACUACUACUGAUUUUUUGUGUGUCCUACUCGGUUUCAGAGUUGCAUUUGUAAUAUACAAAAAUAAUAAUCUAGAUGAUAAAUUAAUAAGGGGACAGUACUCAAAAAUAAUAGCUUAUUUCAACACCAGAGUAACUUUUGGAUUACUAUAUUACAGUUAUAUUUACUUGAAGAAUCAAGAAUUAACUGUUUGCCAUGAAUUAUGAAAUGUAGUCUCGUGUUUAUUUACAGAUUUUCAGAAAUUUGCUUUACAUUCUUCACAAUCAAGUUAAUAUCCACAAGUAAGUAAAAUAGUUUUUACAUUAGAGAAAUUGAAAACUAGGGUUUCUGCUUGGCCAUCAUAGUGGUCCAUGCUCACAGUGGUCCUGAAAGAAAAAAAA